GGUUAAGCGACUAAGCGUACACGGUGGAUGCCCUGGCAGUCAGAGGCGAUGAAGGACGUGCUAAUCUGCGAUAAGCGUCGGUAAGGUGAUAUGAACCGUUAUAACCGGCGAUUUCCGAAUGGGGAAACCCAGUGUGAUUCGUCACACUAUCAUUAACUGAAUCCAUAGGUUAAUGAGGCGAACCGGGGGAACUGAAACAUCUAAGUACCCCGAGGAAAAGAAAUCAACCGAGAUUCCCCCAGUAGCGGCGAGCGAACGGGGAGCAGCCCAGAGCCUGAAUCAGUGUGUGUGUUAGUGGAAGCGUCUGGAAAGGCGCGCGAUACAGGGUGACAGCCCCGUACACAAAAAUGCACAUACUGUGAGCUCGAUGAGUAGGGCGGGACACGUGGUAUCCUGUCUGAAUAUGGGGGGACCAUCCUCCAAGGCUAAAUACUCCUGACUGACCGAUAGUGAACCAGUACCGUGAGGGAAAGGCGAAAAGAACCCCGGCGAGGGGAGUGAAAAAGAACCUGAAACCGUGUACGUACAAGCAGUGGGAGCACAGAGCAAUCUGUGUGACUGCGUACCUUUUGUAUAAUGGGUCAGCGACUUAUAUUCUGUAGCAAGGUUAACCGAAUAGGGGAGCCGAAGGGAAACCGAGUCUUAACUGGGCGUUAAGUUGCAGGGUAUAGACCCGAAACCCGGUGAUCUAGCCAUGGGCAGGUUGAAGGUUGGGUAACACUAACUGGAGGACCGAACCGACUAAUGUUGAAAAAUUAGCGGAUGACUUGUGGCUGGGGGUGAAAGGCCAAUCAAACCGGGAGAUAGCUGGUUCUCCCCGAAAGCUAUUUAGGUAGCGCCUCGUGAAUUCAUCUCCGGGGGUAGAGCACUGUUUCGGCAAGGGGGUCAUCCCGACUUACCAACCCGAUGCAAACUGCGAAUACCGGAGAAUGUUAUCACGGGAGACACACGGCGGGUGCUAACGUCCGUCGUGAAGAGGGAAACAACCCAGACCGCCAGCUAAGGUCCCAAAGUCAUGGUUAAGUGGGAAACGAUGUGGGAAGGCCCAGACAGCCAGGAUGUUGGCUUAGAAGCAGCCAUCAUUUAAAGAAAGCGUAAUAGCUCACUGGUCGAGUCGGCCUGCGCGGAAGAUGUAACGGGGCUAAACCAUGCACCGAAGCUGCGGCAGCGACGCUGAUGCGUUGUUGGGUAGGGGAGCGUUCUGUAAGCCUGUGAAGGUGUGCUGUGAGGCAUGCUGGAGGUAUCAGAAGUGCGAAUGCUGACAUAAGUAACGAUAAAGCGGGUGAAAAGCCCGCUCGCCGGAAGACCAAGGGUUCCUGUCCAACGUUAAUCGGGGCAGGGUGAGUCGACCCCUAAGGCGAGGCCGAAAGGCGUAGUCGAUGGGAAACAGGUUAAUAUUCCUGUACUUGGUGUUACUGCGAAGGGGGGACGGAGAAGGCUAUGUUGGCCGGGCGACGGUUGUCCCGGUUUAAGCGUGUAGGCUGGUUUUCCAGGCAAAUCCGGAAAAUCAAGGCUGAGGCGUGAUGACGAGGCACUACGGUGCUGAAGCAACAAAUGCCCUGCUUCCAGGAAAAGCCUCUAAGCAUCAGGUAACAUCAAAUCGUACCCCAAACCGACACAGGUGGUCAGGUAGAGAAUACCAAGGCGCUUGAGAGAACUCGGGUGAAGGAACUAGGCAAAAUGGUGCCGUAACUUCGGGAGAAGGCACGCUGAUAUGUAGGUGAAGCGACUUGCUCGUGGAGCUGAAAUCAGUCGAAGAUACCAGCUGGCUGCAACUGUUUAUUAAAAACACAGCACUGUGCAAACACGAAAGUGGACGUAUACGGUGUGACGCCUGCCCGGUGCCGGAAGGUUAAUUGAUGGGGUUAGCGCAAGCGAAGCUCUUGAUCGAAGCCCCGGUAAACGGCGGCCGUAACUAUAACGGUCCUAAGGUAGCGAAAUUCCUUGUCGGGUAAGUUCCGACCUGCACGAAUGGCGUAAUGAUGGCCAGGCUGUCUCCACCCGAGACUCAGUGAAAUUGAACUCGCUGUGAAGAUGCAGUGUACCCGCGGCAAGACGGAAAGACCCCGUGAACCUUUACUAUAGCUUGACACUGAACAUUGAGCCUUGAUGUGUAGGAUAGGUGGGAGGCUUUGAAGUGUGGACGCCAGUCUGCAUGGAGCCGACCUUGAAAUACCACCCUUUAAUGUUUGAUGUUCUAACGUUGACCCGUAAUCCGGGUUGCGGACAGUGUCUGGUGGGUAGUUUGACUGGGGCGGUCUCCUCCUAAAGAGUAACGGAGGAGCACGAAGGUUGGCUAAUCCUGGUCGGACAUCAGGAGGUUAGUGCAAUGGCAUAAGCCAGCUUGACUGCGAGCGUGACGGCGCGAGCAGGUGCGAAAGCAGGUCAUAGUGAUCCGGUGGUUCUGAAUGGAAGGGCCAUCGCUCAACGGAUAAAAGGUACUCCGGGGAUAACAGGCUGAUACCGCCCAAGAGUUCAUAUCGACGGCGGUGUUUGGCACCUCGAUGUCGGCUCAUCACAUCCUGGGGCUGAAGUAGGUCCCAAGGGUAUGGCUGUUCGCCAUUUAAAGUGGUACGCGAGCUGGGUUUAGAACGUCGUGAGACAGUUCGGUCCCUAUCUGCCGUGGGCGCUGGAGAACUGAGGGGGGCUGCUCCUAGUACGAGAGGACCGGAGUGGACGCAUCACUGGUGUUCGGGUUGUCAUGCCAAUGGCACUGCCCGGUAGCUAAAUGCGGAAGAGAUAAGUGCUGAAAGCAUCUAAGCACGAAACUUGCCCCGAGAUGAGUUCUCCCUGACCCUUUAAGGGUCCUGAAGGAACGUUGAAGACGACGACGUUGAUAGGCCGGGUGUGUAAGCGCAGCGAUGCGUUGAGCUAACCGGUACUAAUGAACCGUGAGGCUUAACCUU
rnacentral:rRNA from 1 species